rnacentral:rRNA from 1 species
CCUACGGGGGGCUGCAGUGGGGAAUAUUGGACAAUGGGGGGAACCCUGAUCCAGCCAUGCCGCGUGUGUGAAGAAGGCCCUCGGGUUGUAAAGCACUUUCAGUGAGGAAGAACGCCUAGUGGUUAAUACCCAUCAGGAAAGACAUCACUCACAGAAGAAGCACCGGCUAACUCCGUGCCAGCAGCCGCGGUAAUACGGAGGGUGCGAGCGUUAAUCGGAAUUACUGGGCGUAAAGCGCGCGUAGGUGGCUUGAUAAGCCGGUUGUGAAAGCCCCGGGCUCAACCUGGGAACGGCAUCCGGAACUGUCAAGCUAGAGUGCAGGAGAGGAAGGUAGAAUUCCCGGUGUAGCGGUGAAAUGCGUAGAGAUCGGGAGGAAUACCAGUGGCGAAGGCGGCCUUCUGGACUGACACUGACACUGAGGUGCGAAAGCGUGGGUAGCAAACAGGAUUAGAUACCCGAGUAGUC